UACGUAGGUGGCAAGCGUUGUCCGGAAUUAUUGGGCGUAAAGCGCGCGCAGGCGGUUCCUUUAAGUCUGAUGUGAAAGCCCACGGCUCAAACCCGGUGGAGGGUCAUUUGGAAACUGGGGGACUUGAGUGCAGAAGAGGAGAGUGGAAUUCCACGUGUAAGCGGUGAAAUGCGUAGAGAAUGUGGAGGAACACCAGUGGCGA
rnacentral:rRNA from 1 species